rnacentral:rRNA from 1 species
ACGGCUCAGUAACACGUGGAUAACCUGCCCUUGGGUCCGGCAUAACCCCGGGAAACUGGGGAUAAUUCCGGAUAACGCACAUAUGCUGGAAUGCUUUAUGCGUGAAAUGGAUUCGUCUGCCCAAGGAUGGGUCUGCGGCCUAUCAGGUAGUAGUGGGUGUAAUGUACCUACUAGCCUACGACGGGUACGGGUUGUGAGAGCAAGAGCCCGGAGAUGGAUUCUGAGACAUGAAUCCAGGCCCUACGGGGCGCAGCAGGCGCGAAAACUUUACAAUGCGGGAAACCGUGAUAAGGGGACACCGAGUGCCAGCAUCCUAUGCUGGCUGUCCAGGUGUGUAAAAUACACCUGUUAGCAAGGGCCGGGCAAGACCGGUGCCAGCCGCCGCGGUAACACCGGCGGCCCGAGUGGUGAUCGUGAUUAUUGGGUCUAAAGGGUCCGUAGCCGGUUUGGUCAGUCCUCCGGGAAAUCUGACAGCUUAACUGUUAGGCUUUCGGAGGAUACUGCCAGACUUGGAACCGGGAGAGGUAAGAGGUACUACAGGGGUAGGAGUGAAAUCUUGUAAUCCCUGUGGGACCACCUGUGGCGAAGGCGUCUUACCAGAACGGGUUCGACGGUGAGGGACGAAAGCUGGGGGCACGAACCGGAUUAGAUACCCGGGUAGUCCCAGCCGUAAACGAUGCUCGCUAGGUGUCAGGCAUGGCGCGACCGUGUCUGGUGCCGCAGGGAAGCCGUGAAGCGAGCCACCUGGGAAGUACGGCCGCAAGGCUGAAACUUAAAGGAAUUGGCGGGGGAGCAC